UUUUCCUUGGCCAACCAGUCUUAUUUCAACGACCUUUAUUUCAGGUUCACUGUCAUCCCACUCCUCACUGAUGGUCCCCGAACUGUAAGUGAAGGCUCUCACUCCUGUCAUCUGGUUAAUGUGGACCCGAUCAGGCUUCUCUUGCUUGUGUAGUUGCUUCUGCCACCUGGUUUCAUUUCCAGCACAUGAUUCCUGUUUAUGUGGGUGCUGGGGAGUGGGAAAAGGGACCCCGCUGGACAAACCAUUCUGCUGUUAAAGACCUUGGCUGAAACAUGGGAGAGAACCACAAAAUAGGAUAAAUGGUUCAGAUAUCAUAUGCCCUUGGACCACGGAUUAUUGAAGUUGCAGAAAGUGAAAAUAUGAAUAAGGGAGGACACUACUGUAUUGCUCAUUUCUCAGUCUGCACUGAAUAACCUAGAAGAAUAGUGAACUCGAUGGCCGAGAAGAAGUGAAGCAGAGAUGGGUAACAAUUUAUGAAGAAAAUCCUAAAAGCAAUUCUCACACUGAGGGGAAACUUGAAACAGAUUUCCAAAGUGCUACCUAUCUUGAAAAAGCCUACGGCUACCUGUUAAUUGUAGGUAAGAAUAUUAAGACAAGAAUACAACCUGUUACUUUAAGAGCAGUGGGUAAGGCUGGGGGUGGGAGUGGUGUACACUUCUAAUCACAGUUCUCCAGGCUGUGGCAGAAACAUUAUGUGAUGGAGGUGAGCUUGGCUACAUAGCAAGUUCCAGGACAGCCUGGACUUUAUAGCAGUGGGUGAGCUCAAGAAGCAGAAUUAAACUUCACAUAAAAUUUAGAAGACUCUGAGAUGAUUGUGGAAAUGAUGGGUGCACCAAUCUCAGAGUUUCUAGUUUUUUCUCACUGUUUUAAGUGACAGCCAAUUCUUACAGUCCUCUUCCCCUAAUGUUCUGUGUACUCCUUGUACAGAGAAUGCUGAAACCUCUGCAGUAUGCAAUGCUGUUUUGAGAGAAGGACAGAUUUUUCUUUUUUUUAAAGGCAAUACUAACAUUUGAACCCAGGGCCUCAUGCUUACUAGAUAGGUGCUCGUCUACUUGAAUCACAACCCCAGCACUUUUUUGUUGUAGUUAUUUUCCUGGUUGGGUCUUGCGUUUUUGCUCAGGGUUUGCCGUGGACUGCAAUCCUUUUAGUUAUGUUUCCUAUGUAGUUGGAACUAUAGCUGUGAGCCACCAUGCCAGGAAUGUUUGCUGAGAUAGAGUCUUGUUGACUUUUUGUCUGGGCUUGUCUCAAACCACAAUUCUCCUAAUCUCCGUAUCCCAAAAAACUUGGAUUGCAAGCAUGAGCCAUCACACCAACCCAGGAGCAUAGAAUUUUACUCUCAUAUAACAAGUUAAUGAGAUUUUUGUUGUUGCUGUUUCUUCUUUUGGCAUUACUGGAGAGUGAACCCAGGGUCUCACACAAGCUAGCCUAGAGCACUGCUCUACACUGAGAUAUAUCCUCAGCCCUACUGCCUUUUGAGACAGGGGGGUCAUGAACUCCUGGGCUCAAGUGAUCCUCCCACCUCAACCUCCUAAAUUGCUGGAGCUAUAGGUGUACACUACUGUGCAUGGCUAUUUUACUCCAUACUGGCCUGAUUUAGUGGUUCUAUCCUGAACCACUAAAUGUUUAUAGCAUUUCCACAGGCUUACAGGGGAAAUGCUAUAAACUGGCCUGGUUACUUCCCCCAGGCCCACUCAAAGUUCUGAAUCAGAUUGGAUUAAGCAUGUGUUUACCUGUGUUUUAGAUUUAUGAGACAUGCACAAACAUGUUUAUCAUAAAUAGGCUAUGACAGUCAUCACCUUGAAAAUUUAUGCCACUCAGAACAUUAUGAAACAGGAAUGACAUAGAAGAACACCAAUUACAAUGUAGUUUUGAGGCAUCAGGAAAGAUAAGCCUUAAGUUAUAUACACAUCCUGCAAACUCAGUUUGCAGCCUCAAAUCUUGAACAUUCCAUGUUCAAGGAUGCAAUCAAUCAGUUUAUACAUACCAAGAGUCUACCAUGGACAAGAACUCAUGUUGAAGUUCAAUAAAAGACAAAUAUGCAUUAUGGCCUCCUUAAGUUAUAACUAUAGCUAAUCAAUGGCAUGGUCAGGUUAUAAGACUAAAAUAACAAGCAGUGGCUUUUACAUAAUUUUUUUUUGGUGGUACUAGAGUUUGAACCGAGGGCUUCACGCUUACUUGUAAGCAAAUGCUCUGCUGCUUGAGCCACACUUCCAGCCCUUUAUGCUCUGGUUAUUUUGGAGUGUUGCUUUUUGUCCAGGCUAGCCUGAACUGUUAUGCUUCCCACCAUAGAUGGAAUGACAGGCAUGCACUAACAUACCCAGUUAUAUAAUUCUUACAAAAUCUAUAUGUUAGGCAAUAAAAUUAAAACUCCUUCAAUAGUGUCUUCAAUAGUGGUAUGUGAAAAUAAAAACCACGUCAGUCAUUAACAUAAAACUAUCACAUCAAAGGAAGCAUAAAGUAGAGGAAAUUUUACUAAUGUCAAGUGAUGACACUAGCUCUGAAGGAUUUCAUCUUCUGAGAGAGGUUAACUACAGGAGCAGCCUAUUUAGGACUGGCAACAUUUGCUUGGUCAAAAUGUUUUUCUACAAGUUAGUAAGAUGUAUUAGAAAUUUAAGCUUUCAGGUAAAAAUGGUUGCUUUUUAA